AUGGAGCAUGUUAAACCUAUCAUAAACGAAGACGGGAUUCUUAAAAAGUACAAGCUGUCUUUCUAUGACGGAGAGCUUCCGAGGGUGGAGGAUACACCCUAUGCAUGCCCUUUGGAUAGGUAUGGAGAUCUGGUCUAUCUGAAGGCGACUUUGUCGUCCGAUCCAUCGGCAGGGCAAUGCACUGUCAUGCUCAUCCAUCAGCCGUACGCGCAGCUCUCGUUUGCCAAAGUGGGAGAUGCUCACUGGAACUGGCUCCACAUGCAUAGUUUCUACGCAGAUUGCAUACACCAUGAUGGCUGUUUCUACGCAAUGACUGCGGCAGGCGCAAUUGAUGUGUUUGAUUUGAACGGACCAUCUGUCGUCCACAGAAGGAUUUUACCAAAUCUAGUUCGGAUGGUCCAGAAGUGCUACGUUGUUCAGGCACCAUGGGGAGAUGUCCUCCAAAUCAUUAAGGAGGAGAGUUUGGAUCCUGAACAACCAGAUGGUGAGACGUAUGUCACUGCUUAUGAAGUGUACAAGGUUGAUUUUGUUGAGCUGAAGCGUGUCAAGAUGAGAGGGAUAGGUGAAUAUGCAUUGUUUACUGGGAAAAGCACAACAUCUUGCUUUAGCGCAAAGGAUCAUCCAAGCUUGAUGGCAAACCAUCUAUAUUUUACUCAUGAUGAUCACGAUGAAUUACUCAGCGGCAAAGAUGAUCCACGUGACAUAGGAGUGUACGACUUGGAAAAUGAUACCAGAACCAAUUUGGUUGAUCCUGAACCCUGGCGGACGUGGUUCCCUCCCAUAUGGUUCACACCCAAUCUUGCAAAAGCAGGUAUAUUUCAUUUUCAAACAGUACUUUUCCUGAUAUUAUUUUUAGUAUUUUGA
rnacentral:rRNA from 1 species